AGUGAACGCUGGCGGUAGGCCUAACACAUGCAAGUCGAACGGCAGCACAGUAAGAGCUUGCUCUUACGGGUGGCGAGUGGCGGACGGGUGAGGAAUACAUCGGAAUCUACUUUUUCGUGGGGGAUAACGUAGGGAAACUUACGCUAAUACCGCAUACGACCUACGGGUGAAAGCAGGGGAUCUUCGGACCUUGCGCGGUUGAAUGAGCCGAUGUCGGAUUAGCUAGUUGGCGGGGUAAAGGCCCACCAAGGGGACGAUCCGUAGCUGGUCUGAGAGGAUGGUAGGCGGCCUGGGAACGGAGCCAGGGACAAGACUACUAAGGGAGGGAGCAGACGGGAAUAGUGGGCAACGGGGGGAAGUAUGACCCAGCCAGAGCGAGCGGGUGAAGGAGGCGCUGGGGGCGUGAAGACGGCUUGUUGGGAAAGAACAGCAGCCGCCUGAGACGACGCGGGAGUGACGGUACCCAAUGAAGAAGCACCGGCUAACUACGUG
rnacentral:rRNA from 1 species